rnacentral:lncRNA from 1 species
GCACAGUCACCGCCGCCUCUGUCCCCAGGUUCGUGGUACGAACCAUGUGUGCGGUACUGGGGCUCGUGGCCCGACAGGAGGACUCCGGACUCCGGGAUCACCGCGUCAGGGUCCUUAUUUCCAACCAUGUAACACCUUUUGACCACAACAUAGUCAACCUUCUCACCACCUGUAGCACCGUGAGUGGGGGGCGAGGCCGAGAGCGCCACCGGGUGGCUCCCUAGGCCCAAGCUCAAGGCUCACCUUUACCCAUUGGGGUUUGCUUGGGGAAUACCGAGCCUUCUCCCUCGAGUCCCAUAAACGCCACCCUAUGUGUUA